UACGAAGGGUGCAAGCGUUAAUCGGAAUUACUGGGCGUAAAGCGUGCGUAGGCGGUUUGUUAAGUCUGCUGUGAAAUCCCCGGGCUCAACCUGGGAAUGGCAGUGGAUACUGGCAAGCUAGAGUGUGAUAGAGGAUGGUGGAAUUCCCGGUGUAGCGGUGAAAUGCGUAGAGAUCGGGAGGAACAUCAGUGGCGAAGGCGGCCAUCUGGAUCAACACUGACGCUGAGGCACGAAAGCGUGGGGAGCAAACAGG
rnacentral:rRNA from 1 species